rnacentral:rRNA from 1 species
AGUGAGCGCUGGCGGUAGGCCUAACACAUGCAAGUCGAACGGCAGCACAGUAAGAGCUUGCUCUUACGGGUGGCGAGUGGCGGACGGGUGAGGUAUACAUCGGAAUCUACUUUUUCGUGGGGGAUAACGUAGGGAAACUUACGCUAAUACCGCAUACGACCUACGGGUGAAAGCAGGGGAUCUUCGGACCUUGCGCGAUUGAAUGAGCCGAUGUCGGAUUAGCUAGUUGGCGGGGUAAAGGCCCACCAAGGCGACGAUCCGUAGCUGGUCUGAGAGGAUGAUCAGCCACACUGGAACUGAGACACGGUCCAGACUCCUACGGGAGGCAGCAGUGGGGAAUAUUGGACAAUGGGCGCAAGCCUGAUCCAGCCAUACCGCGUGGGUGAAGAAGGCCUUCGGGUUGUAAAGCCCUUUUGUUGGGAAAGAAAAGCAGCAGGUUAAUACCCCGCUGUUCUGACGGUACCCAAAGAAUAAGCACCGGCUAACUUCGUG